rnacentral:rRNA from 1 species
GACGAACGCUGGCGGCGUGCUUAACACAUGCAAGUCGAACGGACAGGCCCUGCUUUUGCGGGGUGCUCGAGUGGCGAACGGGUGAGUAACACGUGAGUAACCUGCCCCUGACUUUGGGAUAACUUCAGGAAACUGGGGCUAAUACCGGAUAGGAGCUCCUGCUGCAUGGUGGGGGUUGGAAAGUUUCGGCGAUUGGGGAUGGACUCGCGGCUUAUCAGCUUGUUGGUGGGGUAGUGGCUUACCAAGGCUUUGAAGGGUAGCCGGCCUGAGAGGGUGACCGGCCACAAUGGGACUGAGAUACGGCGCAGACGGCUACGGGAGGCAGCAGGCGGGAAUAUUGCACAAUGGGCGGAAGCCUGAUGCAGCAGCGCCGCGUGCGUGAUGACGGCCUUCGGGUUGUAAACCGCUUUCGCCGGUGACGAAGCGUGAGUGACGGUAAUGGGUAAAGAAGCACCGGCUAACUACGUG